rnacentral:rRNA from 1 species
UACGUAGGGACCGAGCGUUGUCCGGAAUUAUUGGGCGUAAAGAGCGUGUAGGCGGCCAGACAAGUCUGCUGUGAAAACUCGAGGCUCAACCUCGAGCUGUCGGUGGAAACUGUCUGGCUAGAGUCCGGAAGAGGAGAGUGGAAUUCCUGGUGUAGCGGUGAAAUGCGCAGAUAUCAGGAAGAACACCUAUGGCGAAGGCAGCUCUCUGGGACGGUACUGACGCUGAGACGCGAAAGCGUGGGGAGCGAACAGG